rnacentral:rRNA from 1 species
GUCUGUAUGGUAUCAGCUUGUUGGUGAGGUAAUGGCUCACCAAGGCUAUGACGCCUAACUGGUUUGAGAGGAUGAUCAGUCACACUGGAACUGAGACACGGUCCAGACUCCUACGGGAGGCAGCAGUGGGGAAUAUUGCACAAUGGACGAAAGUCUGAUGCAGCAACGCCGCGUGGAGGAUGACACAUUUCGGUGCGUAAACUCCUUUUAUAUAGGAAGAUAAUGACGGUACUAUAUGAAUAAGCACCGGCUAACUCCGUG